rnacentral:lncRNA from 1 species
GUUCUGUCGGGUGCUUGGUGAUCUCUAUGUGGUGAGAUAAAUCCUAUACCCGGACUUGAGAGCUCUUAUGAUAGGAGGGUGGUAUAGUCAUGUUUGACUUAUGUGGAGUUGAUCCUUAAUAAGUUGACUUGAGAUCCCCCACUCAGUGGAGGCCCAUUUGGGAUUACUGAUGUCACAGAAAUAGUCAUAGUUGGCAUUACUUUUUCC